rnacentral:sRNA from 1 species
GCCGGGCGUGGUGGCGCGCGCCUGUAAUCCCAGCUACUCAGGAGGCUGAGGUGGGAGGAUUGCUUGAACCCGGGAGGCAGAGGUUGCGGUGAGCCGAGAUCGCUACACUGCACUCCAGCCUGGGAGACAGAGCAAGACCCCGUCUCAA